AUGAAAGCCCGGGCCGAGGCCCGCAACAGCCUGGAGCCGUUCGCGCUCCGCCUGAACAAGCGCCUCGCUGACCACGCCGGCAGGAGCGGCAACCUGCUCUUCUCGCCGCUGUCGGUCUACGUGGCGCUCUCAAUGGCGGCCGCCGGCGCGCGCGAGCAGACCCUCGGCGAGCUGGUCGACGCCCUCGGCGCGCCCUCGCAGCACGACCUCACCUGGUACGCCUGCACGCUGGCCGAGCAGGCCCUCGCCGACCAGUCCCGGACGGGUGGCCCGUGCGUCAGCUUCGCGUGCGGCGCGCGGGACGGGCUGUGGCGGCUCAUCGACAUGAUCGCUUUCGACCCUGAAUUUCUGCGCAAGCACCUGCCGAGGAGCGACGUCGAGGUCGGCGACUUCCGGCUUCCUAAAUUCAAGGUCAGCUUCGGCAUGACGAUGAACGGCAUACUCAGGGGCAUGGGGCUCAAGGAGGCUUUUGAGCCGGGAAAGGCCGAUUUGUCCGACAUGACGGAGGACGGCGCAAGAGAAAGCAGGAGGCUGGAGCAGGUGGUCCACAGGGCCAUCAUUGAGGUGAACGAGGAAGGCACCGAGGCCACGGCUGCCACCAUGGUGGACACUUGCUUGUGUACUACACCUCCGCCACCGCUGCAUGCGGACUUCGUCGCUGACCAUCCUUUUGCCUUCUUUGUCAUCGAGGAGGUGUCUGGUGCGAUCCUGUUUGCGGGUCAUGUUCUUGACCCCACGAUCAAAUGA
rnacentral:rRNA from 1 species